rnacentral:rRNA from 1 species
AUAUCAAUAAGCGGAGGAAARGAANACUAACAAGGAUUCCCCUAGUAACUGCGAGUGAAGSGGGAAAAGCUCAAAUUUAAAAUCUGGCAGUCUUUGAUUGUCCGAGUUGUAGUCUGGAGAAGCGUCUUCCGCGCUGGACCGUGCACAAGUCUCCUGGAACGGAGCGUCAUAGAGGGUGAGAAUCCCGUCUUKRRCACRGRCHACCAGUGCUUUGUGAUGCGCUCUCAAAGAGUCGAGUUKUUUGGGAAUGCAGCUCAAAAUGGGUGGUAUACUCCAUCUAAAGCUAAAUAUUGGCGAGAGACCGAUAGCGAACAAGUACCGUGAGGGAAAGAUGAAAAGCACUUUGGAAAGAGAGUUAAACAGUACGUGAAAUUGCUGAAAGGGAAACGCUUGAAGUCAGUCGCGUCCGCUAGAACUCAGCCUUGCCUCGGUUUGGUGCAUUUUCUAGUGGACGGGCCAGMAUCACUUUCAGCUGCGGGAUAAAGGUCUCAGGAAUGUGGCACCUUCGGGUGUGUUAUAGCCUGGGAWUGUAUACCGUGNCCGGGAGUGAGGAUCUCAGCACGCCUUUAUGGCGGGGGUNCSCCCACCUUCNUGSUUCGGAUGCUGGCGUAAUGKCUUU